rnacentral:rRNA from 1 species
UACGUAGGGGGCAAGCGUUGUCCGGAUUUAUUGGGCGUAAAGAGCGUGUAGGCGGCCUGACAGGUCAGCUGUGAAAACUCGAGGCUCAACCUCGAGACGUCGGUUGAAACCGUAUGGCUAGAGUCCGGAAGAGGAGAGUGGAAUUCCCGGUGUAGCGGUGAAAUGCGCAGAUAUCAGGAGGAACACCGGUGGCGAAGGCGGGUCUCUGGGCAGUAACUGACGCUGAGGAGCGAAAGCGUGGGGAGCGAACAGG